UCUCCGUUGGUGAACCAGCGGAGGGAUCAUUACAGGACUCGCAAGACUCCUUCACCCUGUGAACCUCACUACAAGCACGUUGCUUCGGCGGGUGUCCCGGCGGGGGUUUUCCCUCGCCGGGGCGCACAGCCCGCCGGCAGCCUGCUAUACUCUGUCUCUUUGCGUUGGCAUCUCGAGAAAAAACAAACAAGUUAAAACUUUCAACAACGGAUCUCUUGGUUCUG
rnacentral:misc_RNA from 1 species